AGUACAAUCCUGAUCGUCAUACGAACAUAAAAUCGAGAAACUCUAUCAAAAAUUCAGAAGUUAUUCAAAUUUGUUAGAAAUGGGGUUCUAUCUGAGAGUGAUAACUUUAUUGAUGGUUGCGAUGAUUUACGUACAAGGUGGCUUCUUGUAUGGACAGCCAUGCACAAUACGCAACACUGCAUAUUUGAGAGUUGGUGAAUGGAGUUUACCUACCAAUGACACUAAAUGUGUUGAUGUUACUGGUUUCAAGAUGAAUUUACAUGGUCGAAUCAACUUAGCAAAUUACACCAAAUUCUUCGAGGAAGUUGAAGGGGCUGAUACUCUAUAUGCGGAUCACUUGAAUUUAACUCAUUUCCCUAUAAUGAUUGUCAAGUCACUUCCAAAUGUCGAAACCAUUGAUCUCUCAGGAAACAGAAUCAAACUAAUUCCACCCAAAAUGUUCAAACUUGCACCGAAAAUUCAAAAACUGCUACUUGAUGACAACAGAAUUGUGAUACCCAGAAGAAAACCAUUAAUAUCUUCUCAUUCCUUGAAAACCUUAAUGCUGAGUAAUAAUAAUAUUGCAUUUAUCUAUCAAAGUACUUUCAGUAAAUUACCCAGUUUGGAAGUAUUAUAUUUGGAUAAUAAUAAUAUUCAGGAUAUAAGUCCAUUGUUCAGAAAAAUGCCUAAUUUAAAAUUCUUGCAUGUGGGACGAAAUGUAUUGAAUUAUAUACCGGCAAAACAAAAUAUUUCCGAUUCUCUUAUCAGUUUUAUAACUAAAUCACAGAAAACAUUAUUGCACUGAAGAAUUUUAUUUUAAACAGUAAAUAUGAACUAACUUUUUAUUUCGAUGGUACUGUUCCAAAUGUAAAUGGGUCGUAUUCAUAAAAAAUAACUAUUUCGUUCGAACUAAAAGGUUUUACUACAAUUAGUAUUUAUAUACUCCUCCUUUCCCGCAAGGUACACGGUGACUGGCGGCAAAAUUAUCAUUUCAAUAUAAAAUCAAAGGAUAAAUAUUUGAGAUAUCGUUUUAAUAAAGAUAAUAAGAAAAGUAAAGAUGAGGAUUGCACUUUUUAAAGAUGAUGUCAUCCAAAUGUCUUCCAUCAAGUUGCACGAAAUGUUCGAAAUAGAGUCGCCUCAAAUUUUGCUGUACAUUCUACAGUAGGGUUGAUUGAAUUGCGUUGAUUUAUUAACAAAUGUUGCAUUUUAUAUUCAUAAAAGCUCACGAAUUGUUACUCAAAACUCUUUAUUUCCAUGGGAAGCAAGUUGGGUGACUUUGGUGGCCACAGGAUGUCUCCAAAUAGACUAAUCAAGUCCUAGCCGUGUGUGAGGCCACACCAUUCUGUUGGAACCACGUCUGUGAUAAGUAUGAUAGAUAAGCUUACAGGUUCAGCAAAAUAAAAAUUCCGUGAUCAUAUGCCCUUAGUUAUCACCAUUCAAAUUUGUCGCCUGUCCUCGUGCGUUUUCCAUUCGUGGAUAAAGCACAGAAAAUAGUUACUCUGGGUAAUGCAAUAGUUUUUGGUGUUUCAGUCGAGUCAGACCAAAACCUGCAUUUCAGCUUAUUAACAUGGCCGUUUAAAUGAGUGUCUUCUUUGUCGCUCCAAAAAAUGGAAUAAACAGUUCGAAAACGCUACAACAUUAAAUUCUACAAGUUUAAUGUUCUCAAGGGUUCGGAGAUCCCCUCAGAUCGUCUAGGCAUAUACCGAAUAGUGUUCAUAGCCGAAGCAAUUGCUCGAAACCUCUGGUCCCAGGAAUGAAUUGAGCUUGAAUUUGGUUCGUUCCUCAAUCUUCUGAUACCAAAUUCAGAACAAAACGAAAGAAGAAUUACUCUUGAAAAACGUCUCGACUGCGAAUGCACGAUGUUCAUUGGCCAAUACAUUAAUAUGAUUCCAAUAUCACCUCCCCCGCACCAUUUAUAACUUUUCAAAUAAUCGUAUAUAAAUCUGCCACCAGAUUGCUCUGUACUUAUUGCUUCCUUGUGAUAAUGAAAAUAAGUUAAGCCUUCAAAGUUCAAGACUCCUCAAAUAUUCCCGAGAAACCUCAAGAACUAGCUAUGGAAGGCAAUAAACAGGUGCAUUAGCUGAAAUCAUACGAAAUAUUCAACUUUGUUUGGUAGAAAAAACAAAAGUUCUAAUUGUAAUGUUUCUAUUUUUGUGAAAUAUUUGUCAAUCACAAAACGGUGGGAUGAAUUUAUAAACACGAUGUAUCUAGCUCACGUUUUUUUAUACUUAUUUGUACAAUAACCAUACACUGUUCGGUUCACGUAUGUAUUCACUUGUCACCGUCUUGACGUAAUCGCGAUGACAUCAAAUUGCUUACUAACUACGACUUCUACAGCUCCGCUUUCUAUUUUAGAAUCAUAUCUAGAACUUUCGAAUUAUCGAAAUCUCAAGACUGCCGUGAUAAACAAACAAGUCUUCGUAGUAGUCGGUGCAUGCGCCAAACAAGACCGGCUUCACGGUCUAUAUCACUGGAUUGGAAGUUCAUAAUAUUAUGAAAUUCUAACCUUCAUUCAUUCUGUGAGUUGUACAAAGUGCCUCAUCCUUUUAUAACCGUGAAAAGUCAUUUUAUUUUUUAUUAAGGAUAAUUUUCCACUUUUUAGGUUAUUUUACUAUGAAUGCAUGUUAUGCAUACCAAGUCGUCUUAUGAAUUAUUUCGUAAUUUAAUGAACUCAUGUAACGAUUCAUCGUUAGCUGGGAGUUUGCCUAUUAAUUAUAAGUUCAUCCAUUCGUGUACCUUCUAAGGACCUUACGCGACUAAUGCCUGGUUUCUCCACAUCCCUAAUAAAGUCCCUCCUAUCUAUUAUUUACCGAUUAAAAAAAAAUUGAUUUAUUCAUUUUCUUAAAAAUUAAACCUUCGAAUAAAUCGAGUUAUUUGCCAAAUAAUUUAUUAGGUAGUCACAACUGUCAAUUAAAGAUUUUAGUAGAAACUUAACCUAAAAUACUUAUACAUCGAAAUUGGUUUAUUUGUAUAUUAUACCUAUAAUUGAUUAGUUUAUUUUUGGAAGUAUUUAACAUACAAAUAAUUAAAUAUUCAAUAUGGAUGCUUUCCAAGAUUUAGAAGAUUUGUUCGAUGAGGAAAUGAUUAAGGAAAUACAGUAAUUUCCAAAAGAACGAGCUUAUUCUGUUCGUAAAAUUGAUCAUUACAAUUUUUUGGGCGCUGAUGAAAUUUUUUCACCGUUCUCUUUUUCCUUUCCUAUCAAUUAUUUUCAAUAUAAACUAUAAUUUUCAGACCAACACAACUCUCUCCAACUAGCGACUACUUCAACAUUAACCUAAACAAAACACGUGCAAAUAUACUUAAGCAGAGAUCGUUGUUACAACACAGAUAAUAGGAAAUCGUCCAUAGAAGAAAUUUUUUUCCCUUAUUUCUUUCCUUAUUCAAUACAUGUCAAUAUAUAGACAUCUUUUAUACGUUUGCCAAUAAUGAAGUGACAAAUACUUAUUAGUUAGUUUAGAUUUAAACCAAUAAGGAGGAAGAAACGGUAAACGUUCAUUCGACAAAUAAUAGUCCCAACUAAAUUAAUGUGGCUAAUAAGUAUUUGGCACUUUAUUAGAACAUGAAGAAACCGGUCCUAAGUGUUAUUGUGUGAGGUUGUUUAUUUGCAAACAGCCGAAACCCUAAACAAACAAUACUUUGCAUAUUGUGAACGGAAGAUACCCAACUCCGAAUUACAAUUCUCAAUCCUCCAUUUUCCAUUUCCUGAUUAUUCAUUAUGCUAUUGAAUUUUUCGCACUGUCGGUAUAGUAGACUUUUUAUAGGUCGCGUCUCCUGAUUCUAAUAGGAACAAUGAACAAAAUGAUUGAAUUUUUGUUGUGAUACGUAUGUGAAAUUUUUAAUUCAUUCCAAAGAUUGAAGUGGGUGAAAAAUUGCUUUCAGAAACAUAAUAAUCACGUGAUGCUGACAAAUAUAAUAAUAGGAAUUUAAUGUACAAAAUUUCAAAUAAUAUUUAAAUAUCAUCUCCACACUGUAUAGGGACCCUUGUUUGAGAUUGUUUCCAUUGUCAGAUCGGAAAUUAAGUUACUACGAUAUUCAGUGAUGUGGGAAAAUAUUUUGAUUGUUUUUGUGUAGAUCUGAAUUUUAUAUUUUGUGAGGUAAAUUUGGUUUAUUUUACAUGAACUGAAUAUCCUGAAUUUGAAUUUAUAUUGAGCCAUAUAUAAACUGAAAUGUAGGAAUACACUUAGCACGGAUUUUCUUAUUAAGUAACUGCAUCAUACUAGCCGUAGCAAACACAACACUGGGAUCAAACAAUCAAAGAUCAUUUAUAUUAAGUUAUCCAGAGGAACCAAAACCACUAGCCGUUUCAUACUCCCUUCAGUUUUAGAACGUUUUUCUAUGUUUUUUGAUGCAAAGAAUCGAUUUUCCAAGGGUUCUGGGCCAAAAUCUGGUCGAAUAAUUUGUUAUAAAUAAUUUAAUUGUUUAUAAAGCUAUAACUCUAAACUAUAACAAAGAGAGAUAUAAAAAUUUAAAUUAAAUAAUAUUUGCUUCACGAUCUACAGUUUUUUGCACAAAAUCAAAAUUUAAAAUGUUAUCGUGAAUAUAAUACAAAAUUAUUCCAAAAUUGACGUUUUUCUCAUUUUACAGUAAUAACUUGGUUCCUACACGACGUAGGAAGAUUCAAAGCUUCAAAAUGAGAUGUGAUGGAGUUUUUAAACAUUAUUUGUUAAAAAGUUACAGAAGUUUGAAUGUACAAAUUUUCACGAAAAAAAGCGCCGUAAUUUGUUUAUAAGUGUUUUAAUAGUAUAUAAAAAUAAAAAAAAAAACACGGAAUGCACCUUAUAGUAGCUUAAAGUGCUAAUAAAUACGAACAUUUUGACCACUUUAACAGGGCGAUUAGAGGCUAAAGUGCGUUUCCACGAUCUGAGGUGCUCCCGCGAUUAUUUCUUUACAGUAACUUUAUUGAAGUUGAUUUUUUAUGAUCUAAAAAUAUAUUAAUAUUUAUGUUCAUUAUUUCAUUAUUUCAUUGCACCUUACAAAUAUCUAUUUUUUAUUUAUAAAACAAGCUAAUAAAUUUAAUAGUUUUAAUCGUUUGUUGUAUCAAAAUCUUAAAACAUAUCAGAUUAUUACUUAUAUGGACGUGUUAGCAAUACUUUUUUGGAAGUAAAACUAUAUGGAAUCGCUGCCAACGUCAAAUUCUAUCAGAUACCAUAUUUUCAGAGCUUUCUAUGCUACUUACGAGCAAAUUAACAUUUCAAAAUUAUAGCAUAACAAAUAAAACUAUAAAAAUAUAUAAAUAAAAAAUAUUAGAUGAUAGAUUAUUGAUUAUAUUGAUAUUAGAGAUAGAUGAAAUUAUUUUAGUUCUAAAAAAAGCUUCACUGUACCCACUAGUUCAUGAAUUGUCACCAAAUUGUAAUUGCAUGAAUUGAAAAUACUGAAUAUGAUUGAAAAUACAUAUUGGUACUUAAAUGUUUAUCUUAAUCUUCGUCGAAACAAGUUUUAAAAAAGGUAAGGUGCAAUAAAAUAAUGAAAUAAUAAAUAUAUUUUAAUAUUAAUAUAUUUUGGAGACCAUAAAAAAUUAACUUCAAUUAAGUUAUUGUAAAGAAAUAAUCGCAGGCGCGUAUUUUAGCCUCUGAUCGCGCACCUCCAUAGCUUUAAAACUAAGGGCCGAAAACAUAGUUGGAAGAUGUCAAAAUGUUUAUAUUGAUUAGCACUUUAAGCUACUAUGAGGUGCAUCUCGUUUUUUGUCAAAUUCAUAUACUCUUAAAAUAAUUACAAACAAAUUACGCUGAUUUUUUUCAUGAAACGCUUUAAAUCUUUCUACGUCGUGUGGGACUAAGUAAUGACCUAUAAAGUGGAAACAAAACGUUGAUUUUGCAAUAAUUUAACAUUAUAUUGACGAUAACUUUAUAAAUACUGAUUUUUUACAAAAAAUUGUGAAAACGUUUCUUGUAGAUCUAUUCAAAACAAAAAUUUUUCAUUUGAAACUUUUUUCAUAUAUCUCUUUGAUCAAAAGUUAUAGCUUUAUAAACAAUUAAAUUGUUGGAAAUAGGAAAACGCUCUAAAGUUGACGGGACUAUGAACGGCUACUUCUACUUCUAAUUUCCACGUUGGGGUUUGAUGACCUGUUCUUUUAUCUCAAUUUGCUUCAUAUAGAGGUAAAUUCUUCGGUUUUUGAUUAUAUGAAUAGGACGUAAAAGAGCUGACAGCUGUAUAACCUCUUUUUCCACUUGUUUUAUGUAUGUACAAAGAAUUUGCUUUAAUAUUUUAAAAAAUAGUGUCUUUUGUAGAUGCGGCCUAGUGAAAUCAUAUCAUUCAAUAAUCGUUUUGUAUUGUCACUUUACUCGCAUUAUUCCAUGUAUUUUUCAAUGUGAACAUUUUAUUGAAAUAUAAUUUUAAAAAAAUAGCAGAUAGACUGUUAUGAAUGUAUUAUUGUACUAAUGUAUAAUAGAAAGUAGAAUAAAAAAAAAUCAGAUUCAUAAAUAAUGUUAAUUGAAAAAAAAACAAUAAACUAAUGAAUAAUA